UACGGAGGGCGCAAGCGUUGUUCGGAAUCACUGGGCGUAAAGCGCGUGUAGGCGGCUUGGUAAGUCGGAUGUGAAAUCCCGGAGCUCAACUCCGGAACUGCACCCGAUACUGCCUCGCUAGAGUCCCGGAGAGGAUGGCGGAAUUUCCGGUGUAGAGGUGAAAUUCGUAGAUAUCGGAAGGAACGCCGGUGGCGAAAGCGACGUGCUGGACCUCUUCUGACGCUGAGGCGCGAAAGCUAGGGGAGCAAACGGG
rnacentral:rRNA from 1 species